CAAGACGUGGAGAAAAGUAAUGACCGACUUGAUUUUUUUUCAAUUCACACUCAAACGUAAUUGAUUUGCUUUCUGUUGAUAUUUCUGAGUCACUCGUGAAGACUGUUAGCGUGAAGAAGAUUUAGAGAGAUCAUCGUUCUUCACACUCGAAUUCGGAUUCUAGGAUGCAGCAAAUGUUUCCGCGAAGAUCAGAAUAUGCAGCUUAGGGAAAGAUCAAAGCUAAGCUCUGCACGUUUGUUUGAUGAUCCUUUCAAUCAGAUAAUACAUUAACCCAAAGGUUUUUGCAAAGUUUGAUUCCUCCAUGAUGUGUUCUGUACUGUUUAUGGUAACUGUGACUUGCAGGAGUGCCAAAAUUAUAGAAUUUGUAGCCACGAGAAUCUGCAAAGGUUUUGAUUCCUAUGUUCUGCAAGUCGACUAGAUGUCCUCUUUUCUUCCAACUCCGAUUGUGUUUGUUUCCUUUAGAUUUCGAUCAAAGGUAAAACUAUAUGUUUCUAGACCCCUAUCGUUUUUCAGCGUUGAUGUAUAAAGUUCUUUUGAGUUUUCACUAUACUUCUGUCUUUCGUAGUGUUGUUGUAAAUGGGUUUGUGUAGCAUAGCUGAAGUUUUGGAUAUAAUAUUGGUUGAUUCCAGCGAAUGCCGUAGGUUUCAGCUUUUCUGAAUUUAUGCAUAGACGGUUGGUUGUGUAAGUGUGGAACAGAGAAUGGUACUAACUCAUACCUUGUUGUAUCUGAUCCAAACCUUGUUGCAACUUUCAACCAUUCAAGAGUGUCAAUAGUAUUCUGAGGGAAGUGUAUUGCAGAUUUGGAUUCUAGGUUGCAGCAAACGGUGUUGGAGAUGUCUCUGCUAAGAUCAGCAGAUGCUGCUUACGGAAAGAUCAAAGGUGACGCAAUCGGAGAUACCAUUUCAGUUUCUGAUUAUGUUGGAGAACGUCAGUGAGGAUUAAAGCUUUGGGUUCCCAUUGGCUGAGCGGAAAGCCUCCUCAUUCAUAGUUGUCACCCAUAUGGCCAUAUCUGAUGGGCCGUUUAGAUCGUAAUGUGUCUUAGGAGGUUUCAUGUGGAAGGUUUUGUGAUAUCUGAUUCUUUUCUCCUCUGCAACUUCUUUCUAUUCUACAAGAGAUACAAUAAGAUGAUUAAGAAUAUGCAGAAAGGGUACAAGAUUUGGUUUUGAGGCUCUUAUGGUUUUCCAGUAGUAUAAGGUAAUAUGUAAGGUUCUCUUGAGUUUGGUUUUUGCUUCUUUUUGUUUUGGGGAGAAGCCGUUGUUCAGAACAUGAUUUGUUGCAUUUAUGUUAUAUAUUCGUGAAUGGAGAUUCCAAGAGAGGAAAUCAUUGGGCUCGUUUGGGACUGUAUAUAUGAUUUGCUUCCCUCCAUUAUCGGCAUGUUAAAGAUACAAAGGGAUGCUCCAUUGCGACUUCUUUGAGUCAAAGGAUGGCUUGAUCUAUCCUCAUUCCUCCUUUUUACUGGUGGAGAGAUGUUUCAUGAAACUAUGCGUAUUUUUUUUUUCUUUUUCAAAUUGAUAGAUUAUCGAUGUUUAAUGAGAGCUUAUUGGGGUUUUCCUUUUUAUGUAAAUGACUUGUAUCUUAGUCAACACUUGUGCUUCUUGCUCUGUUUUCUGCACCAUUACUUUACAUUUUGCUCUGUUUUUUCAGCGUUAGUUUAUGUUCUUCAGAUCAAGAGAAGCUUGCUGUAAAAGAAUCGCAAUUGAUCUUAUUCACUUUCAUAUGUUUUCCAGGAGUUGCUUGUAUUCCAGUGUUUGGUUCCUAAAAUGCAUCUGUGGCUUUUGAAUAUGCAGGAUAACUUGGGUUUUUAAUUGGUUGGUUCAAGCAAAAGUCGUCGCUUUCAAGGUCUUUACCUUAAAUAACAUAAGAAAUUUUCUUAUUUUGUUUUGAGAUUUUUCUGUCACGAGAAAUGCAUUAGGUUGGUUUUCAUGGAACAACUUGUACCCUUUUUGUCUUAUUCAAAUUACUACUCGGCUUUGAGUUGGAUAUGUCUCAUUUUACUUUUCUUUUUUUUCCCAUCAAAAUAAGUUUGCUGUCUACCUUUCCUGUUGUAACGUGUUUCAAGUCUCUUUUUUCUUUGGCACUCCAAAUUGAAGUUAUGUUAUGUUAUGCAGCAGUGAGAGACUUUUCUUAGAGUCCGUCGUUUACGAGGUUCUACCAAAUUGUGAGGUGAUACUGAAGGUUCUAUUGAGAUUUUGUUUUUCGUUGUGCAGUCUUUGUCUUUGACAGUGCUUUGAUUUUACUAGUUGACUUGAGGUGGUUAUGGUUAUAGUUUAUAAUCUUCAGCUCUUGAUUUGUCUGGGUCUGCUUCUUUGUGCGAGGUUAACUCACUUGUUAAGUACUUUGCUCUUGAUUGGACAGAUCGAUCGUCGAAGUGUUUUUCUCCAGACGAGAAGCUCUUUUAUCUUUCCUUUGUGUGUUAUAUUAGGCUUACUUCUUGGGGUUAUUGAAGGUUCACUUAUAUAACCUCAUGUCAUCAUUCACAUAUUCAGUGGGUAUAUUCGUGUCCUAUUGGUUAUUGAAGAGUGUUCUCAAAUCUUUUUGUUUUGUUGCGCCAUUGAUUUUAGCACUGCCACAAAGACACGUUCAUAUGUUUUCUGUUGGUGAAUCCAUGUCAGAAGGUAUAUAUACUUUUGAAGAGGUUUUCACAGGCCAUAUUCAUGCCAUUAUCAGGACUUGGUCGAAAUGGAUACUAUGAGUUGAUAUGCUAGUAAUUUUUUUGGGACUAGUUACAUUUUCUGGUGAUCUCACAUGAAUGAUUUGUUAUAGGUCUGCUGAGAAUUAUGGUUAUUGAGAAGUUUUCUGUUGACACCGCCUGAAGAUGGUAAAUAAUAGAUUUGAUCUCUGGGAACCAGGUUUAGUUUUUCUUUGUUAACUUUGGCUGUAAUCUUGUGGUUUGUGUAGAUGGUUGGAUACUAUGUUAAGAACGUUGCAUUUUUGUGUACUUCUUUAUGAAAGCAGCUGGCAGUGUUGUGUUGUACUGCUGCUUAUUAUCACUUGGUUCAAUUUUAUUUUUUUAAUUUUGGUGCAUGUCAUGCUUUGAGAUAUUAUACAAUAGGGCUUUAAGUUUAUGAAGGUUUGCGCUCUAUGUGGACGGUAAGGAUUCCGUAUUGCUUGCAUAUCUGUUUCAGAGAUGACAAGAUCUUUAUGGUUGCAGGUCUAUCAGACUUCUUGCAAUUAUAUCAUGUUAGUGCAUGAAUACAAUAGGCUUGUUACAAAUUCUAGUGACUAUACUUUCAGUUCAGCGGUUGUCACUUAUUGGUUUUAAUGGAACUCUUAGCGGUACUCAAGAUCAGCAGACUUGUUUCAACUUUUAUCCACUCAAGUGUGCAAUUCUUGCCCUGCUCUGUUUUUAUUCAUCUCUGUUCCCUUGUUCAAUGAAACUAUUCGUACUGGAGUUGUUUUCGUCUAAAUUCAAGUUAUUACUCGAACCGAUUAUGGGACCUUGUGUUUCUGCUUAAAAUCGUCCUAUAUGAACCUGUUCUCUCUUCUGUCGUUUCUUGAUUUACCAGGUUGCUCUUUCUCAGGGUUUCUGUUGAUUUUAAGGGGAUAACUUUUGAACCAGAGGUCGUUGAGCACUUAAGAAAGGAUAAGAUUGGUCUGUUUGUGUAUGGCGCUGGCUUUAUAUGUUGCACAGAUUUCUAGUUUC